GGAAGAGUUUCUCAAGCAGUUACUCUUCACUACAGAUGUGGACACCAUAUCCCACAUAUUUCAGCUACAACACCACACCUAUCCAGGUUUGUGCAUUUUAUCCUCAAAUGAACAUUGGUACACUGGAGAGGAUUCUGAAAAAGAAUAAGCAAGGUAAUUCGAGCUCUCAGACUAUCAACACAUGAAGGCUUGAAUGGAGCUAAUCAAGCUCCCUACUGGAGAGAGAGUGCUAUCAGCUAACUAAUUAACCGACC